rnacentral:rRNA from 1 species
CAGGGGUGNGGACAGUANGGAAAAAUGAAAGNAAAGCNGCUCAAAUUUGAAUUCUGGCCCUCGGGCCCGAGUUGGAAUUUGGAGAGGAUGCUUUAGGCUCGGCGCCGUCCGAGUUCCUUGGAACAGGACNCCAUAGAGGGUGAGAGCCCCGUACGGGCGGCCGCCUAGCCUUUGUAAAGCUCCUUCGACGAGUCGAGUAGUUUGGGAAUGCUGCUCAAAAUGGGAGGUAAAUUUCUUCUAAAGCUAAAUACCGGCCAGAGACCGAUAGCGCACAAGUAGAGUGAUCGAAAGAUGAAAAGCACUUUGAAAAGAGGGUUAAACAGUACGUGAAAUUGUUGAAAGGGAAGCGCCUGUGACCAGACUUGCGCCCCGUGGAUCACCCGGUGUUCUUCACCGGUGCACUCCGCGGGCUGCAGGCCAGCAUCGGUUUUCCUGGGGGGACAAAGGCCGCAGGAACGUGGCUCCUUCGGGAGUGUUAUAGCCUGUGGCGUCAUGCCCCUGGGGGGACCGAGG